AUCUGCUGGUAGGAGGAAGCAUACAGGCACGGGGCCCAGGUCAGGUGCCAGAGCUGACCCACAGGAUGCCUCUGGGGGCAGAGCCCUGUGGUCUCCAAGCCCAUCCCUUCAGGUUCCAAAGACACCCCUCCCCUUUCUCACCUCAGGGCAGGUGGAGGCUGCGUGGGAUCGGAAGGAGCCAGCUGUGACAGGGGGGCGUGCUGGGCAGCCAACUGCAGCUGGACGAACAUCAUGUGGUCUCCCACGCGAAGAGCCAGGGUCAGUGGUGAGCGACCAGACAAGAAGUCACUGACCUGCCAAAAGAGGGACCCUUCAGCUGGGGGGCCCUUGUCUGUGGCGCCCCCAGCCCAGCCCAGCCCAGCCCCCCUCAUCGUGUGACCUGGGGCCUCUCGCCGCCCCUCUCUGGGCUCUGGGGUCCCUGUCGGUGCCACGGACGCUUAAAUAAAAUGAAUCUGUAUUUCCGGAA